rnacentral:pre_miRNA from 15 species
CUCCAGAGAACAUUCAACGCUGUCGGUGAGUUUGGGAUUUGAAAAAAAAAAAACCACUGACCGUUGACUGUACCUUGAGG